UAGGGAAUCUUCCGCAAUGGACGAAAGUCUGACGGAGCAACGCCGCGUGAGUGAAGAAGGAUUUCGGUUCGUAAAACUCUGUUGUUAGGGAAGAAAAAAUGUAUAGUAACUAUAUACAAAAGAGACGGUACCUAACCAGAAAGGGACGGCUAACUACGUGCCAGCAGCCGCGGUAAUACGUAGGUCCCGAGCGUUGUCCGGAUUUAUUGGGCGUAAAGCGGGCGCAGGCGGUUAGAAAAGUCUGAAGUGAAAGGCAGUGGCUCAACCAUUGUAGGCUUUGGAAACUGUUUAACUUGAGUGCAGAAGGGGAGAGUGGAAUUCCAUGUGUAGCGGUGAAAUGCGUAGAUAUAUGGAGGAACACCGGUGGCGAAAGCGGCUCUCUGGUCUGUAACUGACGCUGAGGCUCGAAAGCGUGGGGAGCGAACAGG
rnacentral:rRNA from 1 species